CCUACGGGAGGCAGCAGUGAGGAAUAUUGGUCAAUGGACGAGAGUCUGAACCAGCCAAGUAGCGUGAAGGAUGACUGCCCUAUGGGUUGUAAACUUCUUUUAUAAAGGAAUAAAACGAGGCACGUGUGCCGUUUUGCAUGUACUUUAUGAAUAAGGAUCGGCUAACUCCGUGCCAGCAGCCGCGGUAAUACGGAGGAUCCGAGCGUUAUCCGGAUUUAUUGGGUUAAAAGGGAGCGUAGAUGGGUUGUUAAGUCAGUUGUGAAAGUUUGCGGCUCAACCGUAAAAUUGCAAUUGAUACUGGCAGUCUUGAGUACAGGUGAGGUAGGUGGAAUUCGUGGUGUAGCGGUGAAAUGCUUAGAUAUCACGAAGAACCCCGAUUGCGAAGGCAGCUUACUAGACUGUGACUGACAGUGAUGCGCGAAAGUGUGGGUAUCAAACAGGAUUAGAUACCCCUGUAGUC
rnacentral:rRNA from 1 species